CCUACGGGAGACUGCAGUGGGGAAUAUUGCACAAUGGUGGAAACCCUGAUGCAGCGACGCCGCGUGAGUGAAGAAUUAAUUCGUUACGUAAAGCUCUAUCAGCAGGGAGGAAAAUGACUGUACCUGAGUAAGAAGCCCCGGCUAACUACGUGCCAGCAUCCGCGGUCAUACGUAGGGGGCCAGCGUUAUCCGGAUUUACUGGGUGUAAAGGGAGCGUAGACGGUGCGUCAAGUCUGGAGUGAAAUGCUGCAGCUUAACUACGGAACUGCGUUGGAAACUGGCGAACUAGAGUGCGGGAGGGGUAAGCGGAAGUCGUAGUGUAGCGGGGAAAUGCGUAGAUAUCAGGAGGAACACCGGUGGCGAAGGCGGCUUACUGCACCGUAACUGACGCUGAGGCUCGAAAGCGUGGGGAGCAAACAGGAUUAGAUACCCCUGUAGUC
rnacentral:rRNA from 1 species